GGGAGGGCUUGGUGCCCGUGCCCUUGAACCGUGAAGGGGAGCCCCAGCAAGGCGAGGUCCUUGCCCAGGGCCAUCUCGCACCCAGCAGUGCAGGCUGGAAGCAGAACCCAGAGGCUCAGAAUUCAAAGACAGAACUGAACACUCCAUCUACUGUGUCCCUGUAGCUGCAGCCCCCUCUCCUCCUCCGCUCUUCCGGCCCGACAGACACUGUGGACAAGCAGUAUUCCUUGAUAAGCCCAGGACAAGACAACAGCUCAGUCUGGCCUCCUUUUCAGUGAACUCAUCUCUGAAUCCACCUGACUCUGCUGGCCCCAGCCCCCUCCAAGCGUCUGCACAAACCUCUUGACAGUAGCCAUCACUGCACACAUGUGCCUGCCCCUCCCAGGCUGCCCCUGCCCACCACCCCAUGGUCCUUCCAAGAGCGUCUGAUCCUGCUCAGGGAAAGCCUAGGCUCCCGCCUGGUCCCGAGGGCCCUCUGUGAGCCAGCCUCUCGCACCACCAAGCCUUCGGAACGCACUCCGCCCUGCUGCCCCUGGCUUCCGGACGGGGUAACCACUCAGCAUUCUGCAGGGCUCAGCUCAGACCUCUUUUCUCUGGGAGAGGGUAUCCUGGGUCCCCCAGUGAGGUGCACAUCCCUGCUAGGUGCCCCCUUCCCUAGAGCACCUGGGGCCAUCUGUGUGGUGUUGGUCCUCCCUGGUAGCAGCCUCUGCCCCGCCCCGUGGCACCUGGCACUUUAGACUCUGGAUGUUGAGGUAAUCUUCACUCCCUGGAGGCCAAGGGAGAGGCCAGGGUGGGACAAAGGGUGGCUGCCAGCCCCAGGCCUCCUACCUCCCUCCCGCUGCAGGAUGUGGUGCAGGUGCACGACGUCCAGGAUGGCUUCCAGGUCCUGCUCCGAGUAGCCCUUCCUUUGCAUGUCCUCCACUGAGUCCGGGUAGAUCACCUGGUCACGCAGGGAGCCCACAGACAUGUAGGGCCUGUGGGAAAGCUGGGUGUCCACGGAGGGAAGGGCCGGCUCUGCCUCCCCCAAGAUACUCUGCGCCUCCCAGGCAGUGUCCACAUGCCACGCUCACACGCAUCCACACGCUCACAUCGCCGCCCGUGCACACACCCCACACAGAUCCAAAACAGGGCAGUGGAUCGGGCGGGUUUGGAGGGAGCAGGAACCACAGCCCGUCUCUGGCUCUGGGGACAGUGCCUCAGUGUCCUCUCCUGAGGUGCUGACUCUUCACCACUUCCUGGGCCUCUGCAGGAAGCCAUGUGUGAGCGCACAGGCAGGAAGAGGUGGAGGAGAGGCGCACGGGCUUCCUUACCUCUGCGGGAUGUAGAACAUGCGCUGGGGUGGGGGCUUGUAGAGCACACCACCGUACGUGGGCCAGAGCCCACCCAGGAUCCGGAACAGGGAGCUCUUGCCGCAGCCAUUGGGGCCUGUGAUGAGCAGAUGCAUGCCUUCCUCCACCUGCAGGGGCAACAGCCGCUGACGCCAGAGAGCGCAGGCCCCUUCCCGUACCCUAUGGCCUCCUGACCAGCCUUGAGAGGCUCCCAAUGCCCGAGGCCAGCACGCAGGCCAUUCUUGAUCUCUUGAUAAGGGACAGCAGGGCCUGGGGGAUGGGGUCCAGCGUCCACAGCCCUAGCUAAAUUUGGCUCUCGCUAAAUGCCUGGCCCAGGACACAGGAAUGGACAAGCCCCGGCCCAGUCCUCAGGCCCUGACACGCCUGGAGAACAUGGUGCCAGCACAAGAGGAAGGGCCUAUUCUGCCACAGCUGAAUGAGUAGAAAGGGGAGACGGAGACACGGACACACCCAGAGGGAGAGCGCCGUGUGGAGACAGAGGCUGAGGCCGACCUGCCGUGGCAGAAGCCAGGGAAGCCCGCAGAUGGGCAGCAGAGCAGAAGCUGGGACAGAGGCCCCGAGCGGAGGCACCUUCUCGGUCCUUGGCAGAAGCCCGCCCUGCCUGCGCCUUCCUCUCGGACUGCUAUUCCCCGAGCCGGGAGAGAGGCCAUCUCUGCUGGGAAAGCCACUCAAAGUUUGUAACGCUUUGUGACCGCAGCCACAGGAUGCUAAUGAAGCCACCUGACUGUCCCCUCCUGAAGGGUGGGGCCUGGGCCUUGCCCCAUCUCGCAUACCCGGCUCCCUGAGCAUAUGUGGCCCUGCGCGCAGGGGCCCCAUGAGCUUGCCCGCUGCCCCUGCCUGCUUGUGCUGCCCGGGGCCAGCCUGGAAACCACCUUCCUUGGACUCACUGGUGAUCAGCUCCCCCGACAUCCUAGGAGGGGCCGCUGCGAGCGGUGAGGGGUAACCACCUGUGCCGGCCCCCUCCUCCCUGGCAUGCCCCUCCUCUCUGCUUCCUCCUGCGUGACCUGCCCCUCAGGCCCACGGCCCCUCACUCCUCUACCCUCAGCUGCCUGCCCACUCGCUCACAGCAACUCCUGGGCAAGGCUUCAUCCCACCCCCACCACCCCCAGGGACUCUGACCACUCUUCUUGUGACCCCCACUGUCCCUUGAACAGCUGUCUACCUGGAGACCCUUUGUAACACUUUAGUGCCCCUCCACAGUGAAGACUCCCUGAGUGCAGGUCUCCUGAUUUACCUCGGGUUUCUGGUGCCCGGCUCAGAGUUCAGGGCACAUUGGUUAAAUGAGUGAAUGAAUGAGUGAUUCCUUGUCACUUCUCUACCUGUCCCUCCACCCCAGUCUCCCCCUCACUCCAUUACUCCCCAGCCCUGUCCAAACCCCUGGCUGGGGACACAGGUGAUCUGUGGAUUCCUUGCUGUGGCCUUCCGAGGGAGGUCGAGCGGCAAGGUUUGAACCAGAGCCCCCCCACCCGGGUCUUGGCUUUCUUAGGAGUGUGGGGAGUUGGCAUCAGAUGAUAGGGCCAGGAACGCCGGGGUGAACCUUGGUCAAUCCUGGUAUCACUAGUCUCUUUUAUGAGCCCUGCCUCUGUUGCCCCAGGAUGAACAGUCAGAGACACGUUGGUCUCUCACCUUGACCUUGGCCCACCUGCCACGUACAUCUAGGGACAAUGGCUGUUGCCAGCACAGACAGGCGGGAAGCCAAGGGCUGAGGCUUGCAUAUGUGCGUGGCUGGCGCCCUCCCCGCUGGACCUACCCUGAUGUUGAGGCUGGCCACCACCACCUCUCCUGAGGGCGUGACGAUGGGGAUGUUCUCGCAGAUGAUCCCCUGUUCCACAUCCACCACCUGGCCUGCAGAGACAGCACAGCGGGGCUGGGGUGGAGAGGGAGUGGUGGCGACCCCUCUGCAUUCUGGGGAGUCUGCGUGCCCCUGGCUGCACGCCCUCAUUCCCAUCCCUGGCAGCAUGCCAGCUGGUUCCUGACCAGCAGCCUGUGGUCCAGGGUCCCUAGGGAACACAGCCAGGUCUUCCAACAAGCUGAACUCUUCCCCCAGUGUCUAAUACAGUGCCCUGGGCCGCCACUCCCUUCUGCAGCACCUGCCUCCCGUGGCAGCCAGCAGCUGGCACACUGACUGGAACUUUCUCUUGCUGUCCUGCAUGGGUGAGGGGACCACAUCCCCCUUGUUUUGAAUGAAUAAUCCAGGCUGAGGCCCUCAAAGGGCGAGUCAGUACGGUGGCCGGCAGCUACUGUCUGGGAAGGAAGGCGGGCGGACCAGCACCUCUCUGCAGGAAACCCUCCAGGGGCCCAGCUCGACCAGGCCGAAGUCCUCAAAGACCCUGCCCGGCAGCCCUCCCGUCCUGGGUGGACUGGGAUGGGCCAGAAGCACAUGGAGGUCCCUGAGUGAGGGAGCGGGAAUAGGAGGAGCUGGGGCAGCAGGUCAGCACCUGCAGCAGCAGCAGGGGCGGGGUCACUCAUAGGGAGGGGACAGCCUUACCUCGGAUCUUCAGGGGGCCCUCCACACGGACACCAGACCGGCCUAUGGUCCCAGACCCCGCCUGAGCGUCCUCUAGCUCCCUGGGCCUCUUGAAGUGACAGCGCUGAACAUCUUCAAAUACCUGGAACAUCUCGUGCACCCGGGCUGUGUAGCCAGCCAGCUCCGUCACCUGAGGGAGGGUGACCCUGGCUCAGCCCCUGCCAGUUGCAGGGAGAGAAGCAUGGCAAGGAUGGCAAGGGUGGGGCUGGGCCAGGGGUACCUCCUUGUACGACGACAUGAUCCGCUCAAUGGCAUCUGCAGCCGCUGUCAGGAGGUUGCGGGCAAUAGUGAAGGCUUCUGUGCGCUCGCUCACCAGCUCCUCCUCCUUCUUUUCCAAGGCUGCCUUCUUCACGGCCUCUGCAUCUGCAAAGCCCCAGAGGGGUGGGUGGCGGGGCGGGGAGGGGCAGGGCAGAGACAGCGGAAAGUCAAAAAUGAGCCGCUGGAGAGAAAGGCGAGGCUCUUCUGCAAAUGGUGCCGGGGCAACCAGCUCUCUCUCUCUUUCUCUCUAUGUGCAGGAGAGGGACCCCUCACACCAUACAGACAAACCAACCCAGAGCACAUCACAGGCUGAUGUGUAGUGUGGCCCAAAGUAUGAAACUCUCAGAAGAAAAUGGGAUAAAACUUCACGACCUUGGAUAUGGCAAUAGUUCCUUCACUAGGACACCAAAAGCAUGAGCAACAAGAGAAAAACAGAUCAACUGAACCUCAUUCAACUCAACACUUUUGUGCACCAAAGGACAAUAUCGAGACAGUGAAAAAGACAACCUACAGACUGGGAGAAAACUCUGGACUGGUGAACCACACAUCUGAUGAGGGUGCAGUAUCCAGAAUAUACAAAGAGCUUUUACAACUCAGCGACAGAGAUAACCCGAUCACACAUGGGCGAAGGACGUGAACAGACAUUUCUCCAAAGAAGACAUACAAAUGGCCACUCAACACAUCAAAAGAGGCUCAGCGUCAUUAGUCAUCAGGGAAAUGCAAAUCAAAACCACCAAGAGAUACUGCCUCACACCCACUAGGUGGCUAGAAUACAAAGGAGAUGAUAACCAGUGCUAGCCACGAUGAAAAGGUGGAACCCUCCAACACUGCUGGCGGGAAGGUAAAAUGGGGCAGCCACUGUGGAGAACAGUCUCGCAGCUCCUCAAAAAGUGAAACGUCCAGUUACCAUGUGACCUGGCAAUUCUACUCCUAGCUACACACCCAGGAGAAACGAAAAUAUCUGCACACAUAGAGACUUGUCCAUGGAUGUUCACAGCAGUGUUAUUCACAAUAGCCAAAACAUGAAGAAACCCAAAAUGUCCAUCAAGGGAUGAAUGGAUAAAGAAAUUGUGGUCUAUGCACACAAUGGAAUAUUAUUCAGCCAUGAAAAGGAAUGAAGGACUGAUUCAUCUUAUGACAUGGACGAAUCUUGAAACCAUGAUGCUCAGUGAAGGAAGCUAGUCACAAAAUGCCACAGAGCACAUGAUUCCAUUUCUAGGACAUGUCCAGAUAGGCAAAUCCACAGAGACAGGAAGCAGAUGAGUGGGUGCCAGGGGCUGGAGAGAGGGAAUGAGGAGUGACUGUUCAUGGGUCUGGGGUUUCUUUGGGGGAUAAAAUAAAAAUAAAACAUUCUGGAGUUAGUGA